rnacentral:rRNA from 5 species
AAAUUGAAGAGUUUGAUCAUGGCUCAGAUUGAACGCUGGCGGCAGGCCUAACACAUGCAAGUCGAACGGUAACAGGAAGCAGCUUGCUGCUUUGCUGACGAGUGGCGGACGGGUGAGUAAUGUCUGGGAAACUGCCUGAUGGAGGGGGAUAACUACUGGAAACGGUGGCUAAUACCGCAUAACGUCGCAAGACCAAAGAGGGGGACCUUCGGGCCUCUUGCCAUCAGAUGUGCCCAGAUGGGAUUAGCUAGUUGGUGAGGUAACGGCUCACCAAGGCGACGAUCCCUAGCUGGUCUGAGAGGAUGACCAGCCACACUGGAACUGAGACACGGUCCAGACUCCUACGGGAGGCAGCAGUGGGGAAUAUUGCACAAUGGGCGCAAGCCUGAUGCAGCCAUGCCGCGUGUAUGAAGAAGGCCUUCGGGUUGUAAAGUACUUUCAGCGGGGAGGAAGGUGUUGUGGUUAAUAACCGCAGCAAUUGACGUUACCCGCAGAAGAAGCACCGGCUAACUCCGUGCCAGCAGCCGCGGUAAUACGGAGGGUGCAAGCGUUAAUCGGAAUUACUGGGCGUAAAGCGCACGCAGGCGGUCUGUCAAGUCGGAUGUGAAAUCCCCGGGCUCAACCUGGGAACUGCAUUCGAAACUGGCAGGCUUGAGUCUUGUAGAGGGGGGUAGAAUUCCAGGUGUAGCGGUGAAAUGCGUAGAGAUCUGGAGGAAUACCGGUGGCGAAGGCGGCCCCCUGGACAAAGACUGACGCUCAGGUGCGAAAGCGUGGGGAGCAAACAGGAUUAGAUACCCUGGUAGUCCACGCCGUAAACGAUGUCUACUUGGAGGUUGUGCCCUUGAGGCGUGGCUUCCGGAGCUAACGCGUUAAGUAGACCGCCUGGGGAGUACGGCCGCAAGGUUAAAACUCAAAUGAAUUGACGGGGGCCCGCACAAGCGGUGGAGCAUGUGGUUUAAUUCGAUGCAACGCGAAGAACCUUACCUGGUCUUGACAUCCACGGAAGUUUUCAGAGAUGAGAAUGUGCCUUCGGGAACCGUGAGACAGGUGCUGCAUGGCUGUCGUCAGCUCGUGUUGUGAAAUGUUGGGUUAAGUCCCGCAACGAGCGCAACCCUUAUCCUUUGUUGCCAGCGGUCCGGCCGGGAACUCAAAGGAGACUGCCAGUGAUAAACUGGAGGAAGGUGGGGAUGACGUCAAGUCAUCAUGGCCCUUACGACCAGGGCUACACACGUGCUACAAUGGCGCAUACAAAGAGAAGCGACCUCGCGAGAGCAAGCGGACCUCAUAAAGUGCGUCGUAGUCCGGAUUGGAGUCUGCAACUCGACUCCAUGAAGUCGGAAUCGCUAGUAAUCGUGGAUCAGAAUGCCACGGUGAAUACGUUCCCGGGCCUUGUACACACCGCCCGUCACACCAUGGGAGUGGGUUGCAAAAGAAGUAGGUAGCUUAACCUUCGGGAGGGCGCUUACCACUUUGUGAUUCAUGACUGGGGUGAAGUCGUAACAAGGUAACCGUAGGGGAACCUGCGGUUGGAUCACCUCCUUA